UGAGGGAUUUUCCGCAAUGGGCGAAAGCCUGACGGAGCAAUGCCGCGUGGAGGAUGAAGGCCUGUGGGUUGUAAACUCCUUUUCUUGGAGAAGAAGAUCUGACGGUAUCUAAGGAAUAAGCAUCGGCUAACUCCGUGCCAGCAGCCGCGGUAAUACGGAGGAUGCAAGCGUUAUCCGGAAUCAUUGGGCGUAAAGCGUCCUGAGGUGGCUUAUCAAGUCUCCUGUAAAAGAUCAGGGCUUAACCCUGGGAAUGCGGUGGAAACUAGUAGGCUAGAGUAUGGUAGGGGCAGAGGGAAUUCCCGGUGUAGCGGUGAAAUGCAUAGAUAUCGGGAAGAACACCAAUGGCGAAAGCACUCUGCUGGGCCAAUACUGACACUGAAAGACGAAAGCUAGGGGAGCAAAAGGG
rnacentral:rRNA from 1 species